UUGAAGGAUCCUCUGCUCCUCUCUGGAGCCAGCUUGAAUGACAGCACUCUCACUGGCUGUCUAGGUUGGUUGUGACAUCCCAGAACCCAGUCCCUAUAUCAGGAGCAGUUGUGGUUUGCCUGCACCAUGACAGCAUGGCUUGUCCCUUCCUAUGUGUGCCGGCCAACUCAAGUGUUGGCUUGUUCUGCUCUUCAUUCUGAGGUUGAUCCCACCAUAAGCUAGUCCUCAAGUCUUGAUUUGGUUCUGUUCGGUUGCCUGGAUUCUGCCCUCUGUGCAUGCCUUGAGACAGCUCUCUCCGGGGCAGGACCUUGCCUAUCACUCAGUGUUAUCUACGCAGUCAAUGAUAUCCUUGUCCACAGUCUGACGACAUCUCCUGCUACAAGUGACAAAACGCGGAUGGUGAUGGUGUGUCUGCCUGUCAUAGUGUCUUUACUCUGGGUCUCUGCUUUUGGUUUGCUGACACUUCACUUUGAUAUAUUGAGGUGGGCAGGCAACGACAGGACAGUCGCAUCCUCUGCUGUAACAGCCAGGACAAGUGCUUCAGACAUACAGCACUCCAAGGUUCCAUCCACUGAGAGAUCACUGCUGCUGUUCAGGGGCUGAGCAAAGGCUUGUCAUUCAGAAACUGGCCGCACCUUGUCACCUGUCAGCACAUCCUUGGGAUCAGACUGACGCUUCAAGAAAUGCGUUUAGCAUCAAAGGGAGUUUGCGGCUCAUAGAGACAAGAGUUCAAACCUCGAUGAUCAGUCUACAAGGAGCGACAAGGUUUUAUGCUGUUUGCUUCCUGGAAACUGCUAGAGCUGUGAGCAUCUAGUCCCACAAU